UACACUCCUGCGGGAGGCAGCAGUGGGGAAUUUUGGACAAUGGGCGAAAGCCUGAUCCAGCAAUGCCGCGUGAGUGAAGAAGGCCUUCGGGUUGUAAAGCUCUUUUGUCAGGGAAGAAACGGUGAGAGCUAAUAUCUCUUGCUAAUGACGGUACCUGAAGAAUAAGCACCGGCUAACUACGUGCCAGCAGCCGCGGUAAUACGUAGGGUGCAAGCGUUAAUCGGAAUUACUGGGCGUAAAGCGUGCGCAGGCGGUUUUGUAAGUCUGAUGUGAAAUCCCCGGGCUCAACCUGGGAAUUGCAUUGGAGACUGCAAGGCUAGAAUCUGGCAGAGGGGGGUAGAAUUCCACGUGUAGCAGUGAAAUGCGUAGAUAUGUGGAGGAACACCGAUGGCGAAGGCAGCCCCCUGGGUCAAGAUUGACGCUCAUGCACGAAAGCGUGGGGAGCAAACAGGAUUAGAUACCCUUGUAGUCCCAUGAU
rnacentral:rRNA from 1 species